rnacentral:rRNA from 1 species
UUGGCGGCCUUUCCAACAUCAGAGGAACUCGUAUCUUAAUCCGAUAAUCCCCGUUCUUUCUUUCUAUUAUUCAGUAUUUAUAUCGCCGUUUCAAGAUAAAAAUCUAUAUUUUUAUUAACAAAAAUUCUACUUAAUAUAUCAGGUCGAGAUAAAGCUUAUAUAAUAGUGAACCGAGUUACAAAUUCUAACAAACUAAAAAUUUUCGUUAAAAAACAAAAAGCAUCAGGAUUUGACAGUAAAAACAAAGUAAUUUUUUCUUUUGAAUUUUUCAUUAAGGUGUACAUAUCGCCCGUCACCCUCGUCUAAAGAUGAGGUAAGUCGUAACAAAGUUAAUAUACUGGAAAGUGUAUUAAGGG